AGAGAUCUAUGCACUACUGGAAAAGGAUUUAGUGAACUUUUGAUGAAAUUGCUGAGUUAACCCAUUAUUUCUAAACCUUAGAGAAAGAAGUAUAACAUUGUUUUAGAAUAAUUCUGGUUUUGUGAGUCCUCAAAGAUUAUUUGUUUCAGAUAGUUUAUUCCUACUUACAUGAGCUAAUUCUUUCUUUUUAUUUUUGGAGAAUUGAGCACAGUAUGCUAGAGAUCUGGUAUGCUGAGACUGAAACAGUAAUUACAGAGUCACUAUGCAGAGCCUUGUGAUAUGAUACCCUCACUGUGAAGCAUUCUGUUUUGUCAAUAAGCUUACAUCAAUACUUGGCAGGUUAUUCCUGCAAUUUUAAUGUUUCAGGCUUAUACUAGACAAAGUCAGUAAUACCAAGUUGGAGCUGCUUUGCAUCUGAAAUUGACAAAUCCUAUUUUGAAAGCAUGCAUGAACAUGAGGAUCAAACUUAGAUUUUAACAUUUACAUUUUUUUUGCCAUUGGGAAGUGUCUGAUCCACUUCUAAUUUACCUGUUGUUAAUUUCCUGAAUGUUUUAUAAUCCCUUGCAGCUGAGAUGUCCUCACCACUGGGGAAGCAAUUAACAAAAUCCCUGACUGGAGUCUAUGAAGCAUCUGUUAAGGAAGUAUAAAAGGUUAACUUAAAUCCCAGCACACAGUUGUCAGACUAGAACAAAUCAGCAUGGAGAAUCACCUGGAGGCACCACAAGGUUAAGGAGGAGCAUAUGUAUGGUAAAAAGGUUGUUUGUGACUAGCAGAAUUAAUUUUUGAGGAUGAGAAGGUCAGACGUGCAGAAAUGAAGGCUGUCUGUGAUGAGCAGAGAUUGUUUUUGGCUCUGGAUUUCACCUGGCAAACGUCAAUGUAGAUUUCAUUGACUUUCUUCUGGUUGGUGAAGCUUACAGCACUGGAACCUUCAUGACUGGAUACAGUGGUCAAAAUGAACUUGCCCAGGGAUUAAUUAUAAGACAAAAGGGAAAUUGAAACAGAAGCACUCAGACACAACUACGACAGACUCUUGAAAUACUAUGACAGA
rnacentral:lncRNA from 1 species